rnacentral:misc_RNA from 1 species
AGAGUAAAAUAGUGCGUGAAAUUGUUGAAAGGGAAACGAUUGAAGUCAGUCGUACCGACGGACAAUCAGCCUUUUGAGUGCGAUUCUGUGGUGCAUGAGGAGGAAACCCUCAUGUUUUGCAUAUUUGUGCUCUUUGGGUGUAUUUGUUCGUAUGGUGGGUUAACAUCAAUUUUGGUCGUCAUAAAAUGACGGGAGGAAAGUAGCUUUGGUCUCGUAUUGAAGUGUUAUAGCCUCUGGUAGAUGUGACGACCGGGAUUGAGGAUUGCAACGGAUACCCUUUUGGGCUACUCGCCUGAUCUCUGAUCGUUACUCUGGUGCCGAAAGCUCGCUUAUGUCAUCAAAGUUGAUGGUCAAAAGGUUAGAACGGGUUAAAUUCGUUAAGGAUGUUGACGUAAUGGCUUUAAACGA